ACUGCCCUUCUCUUCCCUCUCCCUCUCUCGUUUCUCUUUCCCCACGAUCUCCAAACCUCGCCUCUCUCGAGUAAACGAAGACCCCAACUAUAACCACCUUUACUUCCAGAACAAACACAGAAGAAUCCCCGAUCUUCUUCUUCUCAUAUAUGGAUGUUUUUGGUAACAAAAUCGACUUCAUCUGAAAUCGGUCAAGGGUUUGCUCAAGUCACUGUGUUUUCAUUACUCUUUCUCUAGCAGAUGAAGAUUGAUUAACAAGAUGAAGGAUGCUGGAACUUCUAAAAGAUAUAGCUUCACGAACCCUAACUUUGUUUCUCUUCUUUGUUAUUUUAGAUGUUCAAUAUUUGUUCUUGAAUGGGUUUUUUUUACUCAAUUUUGAACCAGGGUUUUUUAAUUUUGGGAUAUGUUUUACUCGAUUUUAAGUUAUUCUAUCGAUUAUGAAAUUUGGGUUUCUGAACUAGGGAUUUUUACUCAGAUUUGUGUGAUUUGUUUAGUUGCCAGGAUUUGUUAAUUUGAUGUUUGAUUCUGUUUUGAGAAUCUAGGAUUUGUUUGGUUUAUGGAUUUUGCUGGAUUUGUGUUUAAUACUUUGAUGUGUAUGUAAGAUAAUUAUGUAGAUUCAUAGCUGCAAAAUUAACCUUUGUAUGACAACUGGGAAGAAACAUACAAUUGGGGGUGGGGGUGUUGGUGUUGGGAAUUUUACCUUGGAUUUGCUUAUUUAUGCACACAAAUAUUUAACACUAUCAAAUAUUUACCUUGGUAGUAACUACUGAGAUAAAGAAGCUAGGAAGCAGUUAUCCUUUCGUUCCGUAACUUUUCUUGUUUAAGUCCGUUAUUCGAUUUCUGAAUCAAAUAUGAGACCAAAUAAACGAGCCCGUUAGAAUCCUGCUCAAUUUUCGUUCUAUUAUGCUUUAAUUCGGGUGCAAUAGUUCAUAUCCUUGGGUUGUUGAUAACAUGACUACAACUGUUUUAAAGACUUAGCAGCAAAAUUAAUUUUGUGUUUGGUUUGGUUUGGUUUAAUUCAGAGAACAUGCAGUCAUGGAGAAGAUUAAAGAAGCACACGGGAGAGUGAUGGUGGCUAACCAUCCUCACAAGGGUGGGAGCAUGUAUCUUGCUAAAAAGAUCAACGAGGCUGAGGUACUUUUUAUGGAUGAGGGUCGAUUUCAAUUCUUUCCAUGUGAAGGUAGGACUGAUUGUUGAGCUAGAAGUCAUAGAACAAGUCAAGCUGGUGUUUUAUAAAACAAGAAGAAUAAUCAACCAAGAGGGAUCUAGUGAUGGCCUGUCUGAAGAAAUUUCUUUUAAGAUUCUGAAACAGGAAGUUAUAUCCAGAAAUGUAUUGGUUGAUGAAUGUUCAAGGCAGGUUGUCGAGGUGGAGCAAGCAGCCAUGUGGAAGUUUCUUUGGUGGUCGGGAAUCAUAGCUGUCCAUGUUAUGGUUGGCCAAAACAUAGAUGAUCACUCGAAACCUUUCUCCAGCACUUCCUCCUCAAGCCUUUGUCUUUUAUUUCCUUCUUGGUUUGCGGGAUGAGUUCAGCUUGUUGAUGUACUUUAUGCUGAGUGUUAGCAUUUGACUCUUUGUGAAGGAAGGACUCAUGCUGGUUGUUGCAACAAUCUGACAAGAUAUAUGCUGGAGCAUUUUGACAGUGAUUCAGUGAUUCGAAUCACAGUUUGAUUCUUCAAAAGACUAAACUUUGUGCUCCUGCACUUGCUCCAUUCGAGGCUUAUUACGAAGGAAACUUUUGGGGUGCCAAAACAAUCCCAAGGACAACAUGAGAUGCUUAACAUGCUGAAGCCAAGGCUCUUUUUGUAGCCACACUAUGGGUUAACGAGCUGGAACUGCAGUUUACUUCAAAGGGGACUGAAUCAUUCUGAAGAUGUAUGCUAUGCUAUCUAGUGUUCAAAUCACCAUAGUUAGUUAUUGCUGUUAUAGUGAUGUCUGUCAAGUUUUCUAGAUUUUUGGUGUAGUUAGUGUCAGUAUUAUUGGAAAAAAAAUAUUGUCUUUAGGUUCCUGUUAGUAUUAUUUUGUAACAUUUGAUAAGGUCUUAUUUGGAAUAAAAUUUCUGUUAAUUCUGGGUAAAUAAAUUUGCCUUUUUAUUAAAAAUAUAUCAAAUU